GGGGAAUAUUGCGCAAUGGGGGAAACCCUGACGCAGCAACGCCGCGUGCGGGAUGAAGGCCUUCGGGUUGUAAACCGCUUUCAGCAGGGACGAAGGGUUUCUGACGGUACCUGCAGAAGAAGCACCGGCUAACUACGUGCCAGCAGCCGCGGUGAUACGUAGGGUGCGAGCGUUGUCCGGAAUUAUUGGGCGUAAAGAGCUUGUAGGCGGUCCGUCACGUCGGAAGUGAAAACUCAGGGCUUAACCCUGAGCCUGCUUUCGAUACGGGCAGACUUGAGGGAUGUAGGGGAGAACGGAAUUCCUGGUGGAGCGGUGGAAUGCGCAGAUAUCAGGAGGAACACCAGUGGCGAAGGCGGCCACCUGGACAGGUACUGACGCUGAGGCGCGAAAGCGUGGGGAGCAAACA
rnacentral:rRNA from 1 species